CCGGCGCAAGGCGGAAGCCCGGCUCCGGGUCCUGAUCGGAGCCGGGGAGUCCCAGGCACUUGUCUCCUCAGUGGAUGCCUCUACGCCCCGUCGCCGCCCCGCGCCGCGGGACGGGGGACACCGGGUAGGGACGGGAGAGUCGGGACACCUCGCGCGGGCGGAGGGAGAACCGGGACCCCAGACAGGUGUGUUUUACUCCUGAUUCUUCCCUGAAAGUGUUUACAGUCAGCUACAAGUGAGACAGCUCCAUGAUGCCAUCACUUGAAUAACUUUGAGACCAGGCCAGUGGACUGAGUAAGAGUUUUCUGAAGUAAUGAAGAAGUUCAUGGAUUCAUAAAACUGCUAACUCAAGAUCAAACAGAACAAGUAUUAAUUACAUGAGAUUGAAUGAAUUGAUGGGAAUAAUUGUAGUUUUUUUAAAUGACUUUUGUUUGAAACAUUGCUGGUUUUUUAAUGUUUUGUUUUUCUCUUUUCUCUUAAGCUAUCUAUAAGUUACCGCAAUUUGGUAAAGUAUACCUUUGUGAACAAAGAUGAAAUGAUUACUUUUCUCCCUACCUGAUCCUUCCAGAAUUCAGAAACUCUUAUUGAAUAUUUUUAUUUUCAUGGCAUUAUAGUUAUUUGCAUAAGUCCAAUAAGAAUCUGUUUUCCUUGUAAUAGGACGUAAUAAAAACACUGGUUGUAUUACCAAGGCUUUAACUGGAGUGUUAUAUUGGAGAAUGAUAUAUAAAAUUAUAUGUGACCAGACAGAUUUAAGGAACUAAGGUGGUCUUUAUGGAGCUAAUGCUUAUAAACCCUCUUGGAAAAAAAACAAAAAACUUGGCCUGGUACAAGGUUUACAGGGUACUCAGCAUUAUAGGUAAGUGAGGAAGGUCACUUCCAGGGAGACUCAAGUACCUUAAAAUAUUUUGGGAACUCAAGAAGAGAGACAUUCAGCCAAGUCUAUAUGUAUUGAAGGCAAAGUCUGGUGGCAAGUUUCUGGCUUGGGUACCCAGCCUUGAGAGGCUUUUAAAAGUCUAAUUUGAGAUUCCUUAUUUAAAGGUCCAGCCAAGCAAACUUAAAAAAGGUCUAUAUGGUCAAUCACUAUUCUUGCUGCACUUAUGUAAAUAUCAGGCCAAAUUGAACAAGACUAGGCUUAUUUUGCAAACAACUUAGUCAUUUAUUAUCUUUGCUAGAAAUGGGGGUGACUAGAGAGAGAAAAAUAAUGUUUCAAUAGGAAGCUAUAGCACACCCUUAUGGGUCUUAAGUUCUAGUCCUGUUCAUUGUCUUUAAGGUUUUAUCUACCUGUUAAUAUGACUGGAUCCUGAAUUCUUCUAGUUUCCUCCAGUAUUUGGCUACAACUCUCUAAAUUAACAUUUCCAGUUUUUCUCCCACCCGUCUGACUUGGAAUCAUUGAGAACUAAAACUGUCCUUUCCUGAAGCCCGGAAGCUGAGGCUGCUGACUUGAUUUAAACUUCAGAGAAAUCACUACAACAGAUCAUGUAUGGGCAACCUUCAUGCCUGUUGCUGUGUGGGCCACUCAGAAAGUUCAUGGAACACCUGAUGACCUCACCAGAGACAUUUUAAACUGCAAACCAGGAAAAUCCAUCAGAUUGCUACUGCGUGUCCUCACUGUAUCACCUAAAGAUGCUUUAAGCCCAACAUCUAGAAGUCUUACCUGACUGCCCUCUGGACUCAAAAACUGAGUUUAUGUUUGUUCUAACCAUCAACCUUUGUGGGUUUUUUUUGUUUCCAUAGACAUGCCCCUUAUUAAAUGCUUGAUUACUCACACCAUAUACUCCUACCUAUACCACCACCUCCUGAAAUGAGACACAACUGUUGGAAUGGACUGACCAGUUUCCAGGACUGAGGUUGAUUCAGUGGGUUAUGGGACAUUCUGCCAACUCAGUUUCUGGACUAUGAAACUUCUUGGGGAAGUUUCAUGUGGAGAAUGACAGGGUUUAGGACAUGCUACCCCAAAAUAUGGCACCUUGGCAUGUUGACUAAUUUUUUUUUUUUUUUUUGUGCUACGCGGGCCUCUCACUGUUGUGGCCUCUCCCCUUGCGGAGCACAGGCUCCGGACGCGCAGGCUCAGCGGCCAUGGCUCAUGGGCCCAGCCGCUCCGCGGCAUGUGGGAUCUUCCUGGACCGGGGCAUGAACACGUGCCCCUGCAUCGGCAGGCGGACUCUCAACCACUGCGCCACCAGAGAAGCCCCAUGUUGACUAAUUUAAGGUGAAGGUAUUUGAGAAAUGGCAGGUGCAGGACUUUCUGACCCUGAAGCAUGCUGUAAGAGCCCCAUGUGAGCAAUGCCUUCCUAUGCCCCAAGGAGAAGGAGCAUCCUUAUAUCUAAAGAUGGAUGGACACUGAGAAGAAUUUGAACAAACUGGCCUUGCUAAGUUUCCCCCUGUUUACUACUCCCAGCUCAUACUCCUCUUUAUCCUGUCAUAUUUUUCCAUAACUCCCUCCUCUUCAUCAAACCCAGUAUGAAAACGCUAAGACUUAACCAUUUCUUUGGUCUUUUUUUCCUUAUGAAGUUUGCUGUACCACGUAAAAUUUAUAUUAAGUAAA